rnacentral:rRNA from 1 species
CGAGCACGCGCGUGUGGCAUAUCAAUAAGCGGAGGAAAAGAAACUAACAAGGAUUCCCUUAGUAACGGCGAGUGAAGCGGGAAGAGCUCAAAUUUGAAAUCUUCAAGGUUCUACCUUGACGAAUUGUAGUUUAUAGAAGUGUUUUCUGUUAGUGGAGUGGCAAAAGUUCUUUGGAAUAGGACAUCAUAGAGGGUGAGAAUCCCGUAUUUGGUCAUUCCUCCUAGCGUCGUGAUACACUUUCAACGAGUCGGAUUGUUUGGGAAUGCAGUCCAAAAUGGGUGGUAAAUUUCAUCUAAAGCUAAAUAUUGGCGAGAGACCGAUAGCGAACAAGUACCGUGAGGGAAAGAUGAAAAGAACUUUGAAAAGAGAGUUAAACAGUACGUGAAAUUGUCAAAAGGGAAGCGUUUGACACCAGUGUUGUUUUUCCGAAAAUCAAUUACGAAUGUUUUGUUUUUGAGGAGUUAUGACUUCAUCGGCUUGCUCCUUUCUUUACGAAACUUUCUUAAUGCACUUUUCGGUUAACAAGUCAACAUCAAUUUCUUUUGUUGUAAAAGGGUAUGAGGAAGGUGGCUUCAUCUUCGGUUAGAAAGUGUUUAUAGCCUUGUGACCUCUGCAAGUCGGAGAGAUUGAGGUCUGCAGCGUAGAUCCUUCGGGGUUAGAUACAUUUGUGCUAAGUUAUAGCUUUUCAUAGACAACUUGUUGACUAUGUUAAGUCUUGUAGCUUACUCGCUUACUGCUAUUUUACCUACGCUUAGGAUGUUGAACUCUAUCACACACAG